rnacentral:rRNA from 1 species
UUGGCCUACCAUGGUUUCAACGGGUAACGGGGAAUUAGGGUUUGAUUCCGGAGAGGGAGCCUGAGAAACGGCUACCACAUCCAAGGAAGGCAGCCGGCGCGCAAAUUACCCAAUCCCGACCCGGGGAGGUAGGGACAAUAAAUACUGAUACAGGGCUUUUUUGGGUCUUGUAAUUGGAAUGAGUACAAUUUAAAUCCCUUAACGAGGAACAAUUGGAGGGCAAGUUUGGUGCCAGCAGCCGCGGUAAUUCCAG